AUUGAACGCUGGCGGCAGGCUUAACACAUGCAAGUCGAGCGGAGAUGAGGUGCUUGCACCUAAUCUUAGCGGCGGACGGGUGAGUAAUGCUUAGGAAUCUGCCUAUUAGUGGGGGACAACAUUCCGAAAGGAAUGCUAAUACCGCAUACGUCCUACGGGAGAAAGCAGGGGAUCUUCGGACCUUGCGCUAAUAGAUGAGCCUAAGUCGGAUUAGCUAGUUGGUGGGGUAAAGGCCUACCAAGGCGACGAUCUGUAGCGGGUCUGAGAGGAUGAUCCGCCACACUGGGACUGAGACACGGCCCAGACUCCUACGGGAGGCAGCAGUGGGGAAUAUUGGACAAUGGGGGAAACCCUGAUCCAGCCAUGCCGCGUGUGUGAAGAAGGCCUUAUGGAUGUAAAGCACUUUAAGCGAGGAGGAGGCUACUGAGACUAAUACUCUUGGAUAGUGGACGUUACUCGCAGAAUAAGCACCGGCUAACUCUGUGCCAGCCGCCGCCGUAA
rnacentral:rRNA from 1 species